rnacentral:rRNA from 1 species
GNNUNAACUUAGCGGUNCCNGNCACUCUCUCUUNNCAUGCAAGUACNAACGAUGAAGCCCUUCGGGGUGGAUUAGUGGCGAACGGGUGAGUAACACGUGGGCAAUCUGCCCUUCACUCUGGGACAAGCCCUGGAAACGGGGUCUAAUACCGGAUACCACUCCUGCCCGCAUGGGCAGGGGUUGAAAGCUCCGGCGGUGAAGGAUGAGCCCGCGGCCUAUCAGCUUGUUGGUGGGGUAAUGGCCCACCAAGGCGACGACGGGUAGCCGGCCUGAGAGGGCGACCGGCCACACUGGGACUGAGACACGGCCCAGACUCCUACGGGAGGCAGCAGUGGGGAAUAUUGCACAAUGGGCGAAAGCCUGAUGCAGCGACGCCGCGUGAGGGAUGACGGCCUUCGGGUUGUAAACCUCUUUCAGCAGGGAAGAAGCGAAAGUGACGGUACCUGCAGAAGAAGCGCCGGCUAACUACGUGCCAGCAGCCGCGGUAAUACGUAGGGCGCAAGCGUUGUCCGGAAUUAUUGGGCGUAAAGAGCUCGUAGGCGGCUUGUCACGUCGGAUGUGAAAGCCCGAGGCUUAACCUCGGGUCUGCAUUCGAUACGGGCUAGCUAGAGUGUGGUAGGGGAGAUCGGAAUUCCUGGUGUAGCGGUGAAAUGCGCAGAUAUCAGGAGGAACACCGGUGGCGAAGGCGGAUCUCUGGGCCAUUACUGACGCUGAGGAGCGAAAGCGUGGGGAGCGAACAGGAUUAGAUACCCUGGUAGUCCACGCCGUAAACGUUGGGAACUAGGUGUUGCCGACAUUCCACGUCGUCGGUGCCGCANCUAACGCAUNANUUCCCCNCUGGGGAAUCNGNCGCANGGUNAAACUCAANGAUUGACGGGGCCCCCACAACNGCGGNACNGUGGNUUANUCCACNCACNNNANAACUUNCAGGNUGAANNNCCGNANCNUNAAANNNGCCCCNUNGGGCGGUACGGGGGCUGG